CUAGUUGGAUAUUUGUUGGAGAAUACUGGUCUACCCCAGUGGUCAGUACUCGGUAUAUCUCCGACAUCUCUUUGGUUAACUGCGUUCACUUCAUUGUGCGCGCAGAUGAGCCAAAACUUUUACUUUGAGGAAAUGAGAGUGUUUCAAGCAGGCCUAGCCAUGAAUACGUUAGCAUGGAAUAAUAGCAUAGGACCUUGUGUCGUAUCUGUUGGUUGACGACACAUGGUAAUAAAAAUAGGGAUAGUUGGGGGCAUUCGUAUUGCAUAUGUCAGAGGUGAAAUUCUUAGAUUUGUGCAAGACGGACUACUGCGAAAGCAUUUGCCAAGGAUGUUUUUAUUAAUCAAGAACGAAAGUUAGGGGAU
rnacentral:rRNA from 1 species